rnacentral:rRNA from 1 species
UGGGGAAUUUUGGACAAUGGGCGAAAGCCUGAUCCAGCAAUGCCGCGUGUGUGAAGAAGGCCUUCGGGUUGUAAAGCACUUUUGUCCGGAAAGAAAUCCUUGGCUCUAAUACAGUCGGGGGAUGACGGUACCGGAAGAAUAAGCACCGGCUAACUACGUGCCAGCAGCCGCGGUAAUACGUAGGGUGCAAGCGUUAAUCGGAAUUACUGGGCGUAAAGCGUGCGCAGGCGGUUUGCUAAGACCGAUGUGAAAUCCCCGGGCUCAACCUGGGAACUGCAUUGGUGACUGGCAGGCUAGAGUAUGGCAGAGGGGGGUAGAAUUCCACGUGUAGCAGUGAAAUGCGUAGAGAUGUGGAGGAAUACCGAUGGCGAAGGCAGCCCCCUGGGCCAAGUACUGACGCUCAUGCACGAAAGCGUGGGGAGCAAACAGGAUUAGAUACCCUGGUAGUCCACGCCCUAAACGAUGUCAACUAGUUGUUGGGGAUUCAUUUCCUUAGUAACGUAGCUAACGCGUGAAGUUGACCGCCUGGGGAGUACGGUCGCAAGAUUAAAACUUAAAGGAAUUGACGGGGUCAUAGCUGUUUCCU